rnacentral:rRNA from 1 species
GACGAACGCUGGCGGCGUGCUUAACACAUGCAAGUCGAACGGAAAGGCCCUGCUUUUGUGGGGUGCUCGAGUGGCGAACGGGUGAGUAACACGUGAGUAACCUGCCCUUGACUUUGGGAUAACUUCAGGAAACUGGGGCUAAUACCGGAUAGGAGCCCCUGCUGCAUGGAGGGGGUUGGAAAGUUUCGGCGGUUGUGGAUGGACUCGCGGCUUAUCAGCUUGUUGGUGGGGUAGUGGCUUACCAAGGCUUUGACGGGUAGCCGGCAUGGGAGGGUGACCGGCCACAUUGGGACUGAGAUACGGACCAGACGCCUACGGGAGGCAGCAGUGGGGAAUAUUGCACAAUGGGCGGGAGCCUGAUGCAGCAACGCCGCGGGCGUGAUGACGGCCUUCGGGCUGUAAACCGCUUUCGCCUGUGACGAAGCGUGAGUGACGGUAAUGGGUAAAGAAGCACCGGCUAACUACGUG